UGACACUGCCUUUUCUUGCAACUUCCAUCUUUGAAUUGUUUCCAAGCUUGACUACUUGUGUACAAUUUUCAUGUUUAGUGAACUAAGUUUUGUUUCCACUCAUGUAAUUAGAGCAUCCAGAAUCCAAGAACCAAACAUAUUCUUUUUUUUUUCUUUUCUUGUGGAUCAACAUGUGUCAUCAGUAACACAGUUUCAUCUUCAUUGAAUUCUGCACAAUUGGCUUCUUUGUCC
rnacentral:lncRNA from 1 species